rnacentral:snRNA from 1 species
UUACAUUCUUGGUAAGGAAGAUAAAACACGCAGAAAGGUGAUUUUUCCCAGGAUGAAACUCAGAUAUUGCACUUUGGGUGUGCUGACCCUUGUAACUUCCUCAAAUGUGAGAAACUUGACUGCCUCAC